UGGGGAAUAUUGGACAAUGGGCGCAAGCCUGAUCCAGCCAUGCCGCGUGUGUGAAGAAGGCCUUCGGGUUGUAAAGCACUUUCAGCGAGGAGGAAGGGUGGUGUGUUAAUAGCACAUCAUUUUGACGUUACUCGCAGAAGAAGCACCGGCUAACUCUGUGCCAGCAGCCGCGGUAAUACAGAGGGUGCAAGCGUUAAUCGGAAUUACUGGGCGUAAAGCGCACGUAGGCGGUUAGUUAAGUUGGAUGUGAAAGCCCCGGGCUCAACCUGGGAAUUGCAUUCAAAACUGGCUAACUAGAGUAUGUGAGAGGGGGGUAGAAUUCCAAGUGUAGCGGUGAAAUGCGUAGAGAUUUGGAGGAAUACCAGUGGCGAAGGCGGCCCCCUGGCACAAUACUGACGCUGAGGUGCGAAAGCGUGGGGAGCAAACAGG
rnacentral:rRNA from 1 species